rnacentral:lncRNA from 1 species
UUUCUUAGAUUCAAGAAAUCCUUUUCAUUGACCAGAACAAUAGACCCACAAAUCUCAAAUUUGACCUAGUAAACCCUCACAAAUUCAAACAAAUAAUACGAUAAUCCUGUCAUUGAAAGAGCAUUGAGAGAUCAGAAAAAUCUGCAUUCUUUUCCAUCUUCGUUCUAGAGAAAUGAAAAAUGCAAAAAUAAAAAAGGUAAACAGCGAUUUAUACCAAUAUUAUAGUAGAAAUAAGAAGAAAACCCAGAAUCUGAGGGUAGAGAGAUCAUCGGCUAGAAGGGUAUAGAUAGGCUUCAAGAGUUUCUAGAAAGGUUUUAUUCCCAAAUUACACCGAAUUUUGAGCUUCCUGAUUAAUCGAAGAAAACAAAUAGACAUAAAAACGUUUGUUGGAUAGUCCGACGUUGCUCGGACAGCGCCGCUAUGUACAACGUGUCCACCAUAUUCCACAAGGCGACAUAAUAGAGCCUGCUGCUUUUUCCACCUGUCCAACACUUUUUCUUGCUUUAGAGACGUGGGAAUUUACGCGUUUUGACUCUUUCUUUUCUAGUUUAUUUGGGUAAAAUCUAAUUCAACCCCACUAAUGUCACCUGUCUUUAUCCAAUACUACCUUUUAGAUUUGCUCUAAAUUGCAGUUUUUCUCCAUUAACACAAUUGUAAGUAGUUCAGUGAAAUGAGUAGUUUGAGGAUAGUAGAAAGUUCCAUUAAAUGAGUCAUUUAGUACAAUUGUGACUAAGCUUAUUAAUAACCUUGUUUUGCAGAUAAUUUGUGAAAGAAAGAUUCAACUAGAUUUCAAUGUCAAGUUAACAUAAAACAAAGAGAAAAAGGUAUUUCUUCCAAAUUCCCAUCAGUCCAUAACAAAAGCAGAAUAAAAUUGGUUGCUACAUUGUCCAUGACUAGGUUUCCUUGAGAAGUUUGUGGCCAAUUCUAUAAGAAGCAUAUGCAUCAAUACAACAAUACUCAAUCUGCUGAAUGCUAAGAACCCUAGCUUCCCAAUUACUUCUACAAACGUGAAUAGGCUUCGCCAUAGAAAGUUCUACAACAAACUCAGCAAGCUUUUUCAGGCCAGGCUUCCUAUAGAAUAGGAUCGGCCAACGCUCCAUAGCCAACGCUUGAAUGUCAGCAAUUGUAGCGCAGGUCAAUCCAUACUCACUAUUAAGCUUCAAAACAUCAUCUCCCACCUCGACUCCCACAAAUGUAUUGUUGGGAUCACUCAGAAAGUUCUUUAUGGACUGAGGAAUAUAAUCCAAGUAUAAGAGUUGAAGGAUUAGGCAUUUUGUGUCAACACACAGCUGAAGUGUGGCAGUUUUGUUGCUCAUUGAUGGGAUCAAGUUAGGCCUCCAUUCACAGUCGAGUCCGACAAUUAUUUGUUGUCCAUAGUACAUUGAUCGGAUUUCUAGUACCCAAUCAUCGACAAUGGCAGCCUUGUCGGCUACUGUUGCUUCAAUUACUGCACCAGAGAAAGAAACCGUAUACUUGGAAGCCAUUUUUUUGGGGUAAAUUCAUUGUCAAUCUAUGCGCAUUUAUAUAGGAGUUGUUUCAGCAUUCAUGGUAGCCCAAGAGUUUGCUUUUGGAAGGAAUAUGAAGAGGCAUUUAGGUUAUACAUUUUCCUACACCGUUAAAUUUAUUUGUCUUCCUAGAAAGAACAAAUGUUGAGAAGAAGCAACAAUAAAUUUGCACUGUUUGACUUGUGAAUCCAGAAAUAUUGAUUUUGAAGACUCUGGGAACUAUUGUCCCUUCCAAACCGACUUCUGAUACGACCCGUCCCGAAUCAUCUUGGUAGACUCGAAAUGUGAUGUGCGCUGAUGAUAAAUGCUAAUUAGAUGUCAAAUCUAUCACCAAGUUUGAAUAUGAGUUACUUCAAAAAAUGCAACAAAAUCAAAUGUUUAUAUAAAACAUAAUGCGGUGGGCCAAAUUAUUUACUUCACGCUUCAUCAAAAUGAGUGAUAAAAUUCAACAUAUCGUGUGGCUCUCAAUUCGAAAUCAUUAGGCUCUUCCAACUGAAAAGAAUCAAUUGCUACCUGUAAGAAAAAUUACGGAAAAAUAUAUGAGUUGAUAGUUCAGUGAGUGGAAGAGUUCAUAAAUAAUUAUACUUUCUCCGUUAAACAUUUUUACUAAACAUCUAGUUCAUAUCGUUUAAUAUGCACACGAUAGACUUAUACAAUUAUAGCCAAAAAGUAAGACAUUCUUAUAACACUGUAAAUAUCAUCUCAUAAUCACAAUAUAGUCAUCAGCUGAUAUCUAUAUCAUCAUCUCAUCACAUCACAAGUGAUCCACAAAAAAUAUACCCUCUGACUAAAAUUUGUAAUUCGCCCCUCGGACUAAGCACUUUCGCCUCGAGCCUUUGGCCCCCUCCGUGAACGAAAGUCGGUCUCAAAGACUUCUGAUAAUCAAUUCUAGAACACGGUCAAGGCCUUUCUGUGAACUAUAUGUACACGAUCGAGAGCAAUAUCCGAUCAAGACCCCUGCGUAUAGGAUAAAAUACGGCCAAGACCCAUCUGUGAACUAAAAAAAAAAUAUAAUCAUGAGUACGUUUUUGGCGAUCUUAAUAUUAUAUAUCUCACAUACUAAACAAUCUCAAUAUCACAUGUCUUACAUACCAAGUCACAAAUGUGCCAUAAAUAAUGUUAGAUUUUUCUAGUUGUACACCGAGUUUGACACCCCGGUGUACAUGUAGAAGAACUCAAUAAUUUUUGAGAUUGCACGUGUAUUAUAAUAAAAGAGAUUUUCAUAAUAAUCAUAUAAUUGAACACAUAUUUAAAGGUUGAACCCCAACUUUGAGAGCCCUUGUCGUCCCGCCUCUAGAGCUUUGUGAGGGACGUAAAUCGCUGGAUGUGCCCCAACAGGCCAGGGAACAAGAGUUGCCUGUACANAUUUAAAUUAAAAUAAUAAAACCCAAACAGGCAAUUAGUAGACAAGCAACGAAUAGAUAUUGACUCGUGUAAAUCAAAUUAUGACAUUCUGGCACAAUCAAUUUUGAGUUAGCCCAAGCAGGUCAUGGGUUCUUACAGCCAUGUUGGCUCUAGGGGCAAGCCGGAUCAUGGCACUUUUCGUUCCAAGUCAAGCCAAUCACAUAUUAUGCUUCAAAGGGUUGGUGUUUACAGUUUUUUUUAAUUAUUUUUAAAUUUUGUGUAAAUGAUUUCAAUUUGGUUUCAAGCACUUUUGUAACUAUCAAGCCUAAAAUGAACAAUUUUCUAAACAUUUCGAUUCGAUUCAAAAUUGAAACGUUAACGUGCACAUAAUUGAGUGAGUUUGACCCUUUUCUUGUUUACCCAUAGAUAUAGGUAGUGAUGGAGAAUAAAAAUUUAAGUUUGAUGUUGGAUUUGUAACGAUUGAGAGUUACCAAACUGGAACACACUUUAAAGAGGGAAUUAACCUUCGUGGCAUGUGUUUUGACUAAUAUAAACUAUUUAUUAUUCACUCAAAAGAACUUUUUAUUUGUACUAUAUAUGUAUAAAUAAUUCUUGAACGUGGGUAACGUCUGAAUGAAUUUUGUAAAGGGAAGGACUGCAAAUAAAAUUAAUAAAUUAAUGAUUGUACAAAUGAACUCUAAAUACUUCAAUCCCAUGUUCCUUAAUCUUUAUAUAUACAUCUCACUGCUAUGAUGACAAAAUGUGAAGCUAACUCUAUUCCUGGGAUCUGAAUUCUAAACCAGAGAGCUGUCCUGCAGAACUGCAUCCAUGAAAUCAAAAUUAGCCAAACUAUUCGAAAGAAAAAUGGGGGAAUAACUUAUAUAAUUGUAGUAGCUGAAAAUAGAUCAUACACGGGAGAAUACGAAUUUGGCACUCUGUCAUCAUUUGACAAACCAUUCCUGUAAAAUUCGACAGAAAUCAAGCCUUUGUUCAUCAUUGCUGGCUCGGGAGCCCCAGGGAAUAUUACAGGCGAACUAUUUCUUGAACCAAGUCCUGCAAAAAUACUUAAGGUUUAAACCUUACUUUCUCAAGCCGACAGCAAUAGUAAACAGAAACAAAAGAUCAGAAACAAAGAAGAACACAGAAAGGCUUGAUUUCUUUUCUAGUUAUCCUAAACUUAUGUAAGGAAGUUUUUCAUUCCUUUUCUGUCCUCCUGUAUGUCAGAUGGAAAAGAAGUCAUAAUGAAAGAUCAAGCUGCAAAAUAAUAUAAUGGAAAUGCAGAAUGGUCACAUCUUACAACAUCACUGAGGCAAAACGAAAGACCCAAAAAUCGUGAAAUGUGCUAAUUAUGAAAGAAACUAAACAUUCUCGAACAAAAAGAGGGGACUCGACUUGCUUCGAGUUAUUUUUUUCUUGUUUCACCUUUUUAGUCGAACAAAGUUUCAUUUGACACAACCUCCUUACGUAUCCAGAGCACAUAUCAAGUCUACAAAGGGAAAAAAUUUACUAUCUUAGAAAUUUUCAACUGCUCAGAAAGGGGAUAGCCACUUCCAACAAAGUGGCUCUCAUCAUAAGAUGAUUGAUAAGUGUGAUCAAGUCAUUUUUAGAAAAAUACUGGUUUCGAAGUACUUGCCCACAUUUAUGCAUUAUUAUGGGCAAGUACUUCGAAACCAGUAUUUUUCUAAAAAUGACUUGAUCACACUUAUCAAUCAUCUUAUGAUGAGAGCCUUUGAUGUUUCAAGAACCCAUUUGGCAAGGCGGAUUUCACAUUAUUUGAAUGGUAUUUCAUAGAAGUAUGGAACUGAAAAUAUUAUAUAUAUGCUACUAUCUAGUCCUAUCCAAUGUUAUGAACCAAACAAGUUCCUAGAGCAGAAAAAACUGUAUAAAGGUUUAAAUAACAAUCUAGAAAUUUUGAGAGCAUUGAUGAUGACACCUUGGAAGAUUAUCACAAGACAAAAGAGAAUUGUGAUGAUCAUGGCCGGAAAGGUGCUGCAAGAUGAUGGUGAUGAUGACGAUGAUUUGGCUGCUUUCAUCUUCUUCAAUGCUUUCAUCCGUUCAAUUCUUUCACGCUUCUUUGUGGCAAGCACAGAAAUCUCUUUCACCAGCUUCAUAUCAACAGCAUCCAAGGUUGGACCUUUAGGAGGCCGUGGCGGCUUGGGAGCCUUUUUAUAUUUUCCAAUCUUUGAUCGCUCUUUUUCACGUUUCUUCUCCACAACUGGCAUAAGAUUUUGAUUUUGCAGUCCAACGGGAUUCUUUUCUUCUAUCAUCAACCUUACACUUUCACGCGACUCCUCACUCCUUUCUCCCAAAAUACCCUUUGAUUUAGGGCUAGGCUCAACCUCAGACGAUCCAUUAAAACCCAAUACACUACUAGUACCUAUCUUCUUCAACAAUUCUUUCGCCUGUUUCUUGCCCAAUACAGAAUCACUUCCGGUAUCAUCUUCACUACUUGUCCCACCGCUCUCAAUAUCACCAAUUAUUCCCUUUUCUUUCCAGUUAUUAUAACCCAUAUCCUAUACAAUAUAAAUCUCUUGCUAAAUUAUCCAAUCUCCCCGAUCUUCGAUUCCUUAAUUUCUACAAUAUAUUGAUAUUGCAGAUGAUCAAUAUCAGCUCAAAUCAAUUUAUAAAACAUUGCAAAGCUAAAAUCAAACUAAAGGAUUCAACUUUCGUUUCUUAGAUUCAAGAAAUCCUUUUCAUUGACCAGAACAAUAGACCCACAAAUCUCAAAUUUGACCUAGUAAACCCUCACAAAUUCAAACAAAUAAUACGAUAAUCCUGUCAUUGAAAGAGCAUUGAGAGAUCAGAAAAAUCUGCAUUCUUUUCCAUCUUCGUUCUAGAGAAAUGAAAAAUGCAAAAAUAAAAAAGGUAAACAGCGAUUUAUACCAAUAUUAUAGUAGAAAUAAGAAGAAAACCCAGAAUCUGAGGGUAGAGAGAUCAUCGGCUAGAAGGGUAUAGAUAGGCUUCAAGAGUUUCUAGAAAGGUUUUAUUCCCAAAUUACACCGAAUUUUGAGCUUCCUGAUUAAUCGAAGAAAACAAAUAGACAUAAAAACGUUUGUUGGAUAGUCCGACGUUGCUCGGACAGCGCCG